rnacentral:rRNA from 1 species
GCGAGAGACCGAUAGCGAACAAGUACCGUGAGGGAAAGAUGAAAAGAACUUUGAAAAGAGAGUUAAAUAGUACGUGAAAUUGUCAAAAGGGAAACGCUUGAAACCAGUGUUGCGGCCUAGAUCCCAACCGGUCUUACGACUGGCCCAUGUUCUAGGUUGUAGGUCAGCAUCGGUUUGGUUUGGAGUAUAAAGCUUGAGGAAGGUAGCCCCUCGGGGUAUUAUAGCCUCUCGUUCUGCUCUGGACUAGACCGAGGUUCGCAGUGCAGUCUUGGGGAACCUAGUGCUAGUUGUAGCGGAUUCUAGGACAACGUGUUGAUCUAGAGUGCGUCAAGGCUAAUCGUUAGGCGUACCACACCUGUGCUUAGGAUGCUGACAAAAUGGUUUUAAACGACCCGUCUUGAAACACGGACCAAGGAGUCUAACACAUAUGCGAGUAUUUGGGUGUCAAACCCGAAAUGCGUAAUGAAAGUGUUAAGGUGGGAUCAUUUGUGCACCAUCGACCGGUCUUGAAGUUUACGGAAAGAUCUGAGUAAGAGCAUAUUUGUUAGGACCCGAAAGAUGGUGAACUAUGCCUGAAUAGGGCGAAGCCAGAGGAAACUCUGGUGGAGGCUCGUAGCGAUUCUGACGUGCAAAUCGAUCGUCAAAUUUGGGUAUAG